rnacentral:sRNA from 2 species
GGACAGCCAUCGCCGAGUCCCCGUACGGCGCGAGCCAGGGGAGCCGGGGACCCACGCAGUCCCUGGGGUGAAUCGGACGCCCCCGCACAGGGCGCCCGUAGGAGACCUUCCUGCUCCGAACCCGUCAGCUAACCCGGUAGGCGAGAGGGAAGGAAAGG